rnacentral:tRNA from 1 species
GCCACCCUAGCUCAGCUGGUAGAGCAAUUGUUUCGUAAACAAUAGGUCGUCGGUUCAAGUCCGAUGGGUGGCUCCA